rnacentral:rRNA from 1 species
UACAGAGGUCUCAAGCGUUGUUCGGAUUCAUUGGCGUAAAGGGUGCGUAGGUGGCGCUGUAAGUCGGGUGUGAAAUUCGGAGCUUAACUCCGAAACUGCAUUCGAUACUGCGGUGCUUGAGGACUGGAGAGGAGACUGGAAUUCAUGGUGUAGCAGUGAAAUGCGUAGAGAUCAUGAGGAAGACCAGUGGCGAAGGCGGGUCUCU